rnacentral:rRNA from 1 species
UACGAAGGGGGCUAGCGUUGCUCGGAAUCACUGGGCGUAAAGCGCACGUAGGCGGCUUGUUAAGUCAGGGGUGAAAUCCUGGAGCUCAACUCCAGAACUGCCUUUGAUACUGGCGAGCUUGAGUUCGGGAGAGGUGAGUGGAACUGCGAGUGUAGAGGUGAAAUUCGUAGAUAUUCGGAGGAACACCAGUGGCGAAGGCGGCUCACUGGUCCAUUACUGACGCUGAGGUGCGAAAGCGUGGGGAGCAAACAGG